rnacentral:rRNA from 1 species
AUUGAACGCUGGCGGCGUGCCUAACACAUGCAAGUCGAGCGGUAACAGGUGUAGCAAUACAUGCUGACGAGCGGCGAACGGGUGAGUAAUGCUUUGGAAUCUUCCCAGUAGUGGGGAAUAACCAGUCGAAAGAUUGGCUAAUGCCGCAUACGUCUGUAAAGGGAAAGCGGGGGCUCGUAAGACCUCGCGCUAUUGGAUGAGCCAAAGUCGGAUUAGCUAGUUGGUGGGGUAAUGGCCUACCAAGGCGACAAUCCGUAGCUGGUCUGAGAGGACGACCAGCCACACCGGAACUGAGACACGGUCCGGACUCCUACGGGAGGCAGCAGUGGGGAAUAUUGGACAAUGGGGGAAACCCUGAUUCCAGCGACGCCGCGUGUGUGAAGAAGGCCUGCGGGUUGUAAAGCACUUUUAGUGGGGACAAAAAAGCUACGGAUUAAUACUCUGUGGUCUUGAUUUAACCCAAAGAAAAAGCACCGGCUAACUCUGUGCCAGCAGCCGCGGUAAUACAGAGGGUGCGAGCGUUAAUCGGAAUUACUGGGCGUAAAGCGCGCGUAGACGGUUUUGUAAGUCAGAUGUGAAAUCCCUGGGCUCAACCUGGGAACUGCAUUUGAAACUGCAUGGCUAGAGUAUCGAAGAGGGAAGUGGAAUUUCCGGUGUAGCGGUGAAAUGCGUAGAUAUCGGAAGGAACACCAGUGGCGAAAGCGACUUCCUGGUCGAAUACUGACGUUCAUGUGCGAAAGCGUGGGGAGCAAACAGGAUUAGAUACCCUGGUAGUCCACGCCAUAAACGAUGACAACUAGAUGUUGGGGGGGUCUGCCUCUCGGUGUCGCAGCUAACGCGUUAAGUUGUCCGCCUGGGGAGUACGGCCGCAAGGUG